GAUGAACGCUGGCGGCGUGCCUAAUACAUGCAAGUCGAGCGAACGGACGAGAAGCUUGCUUCUCUGAUGUUAGCGGCGGACGGGUGAGUAACACGUGGAUAACCUACCUAUAAGACUGGGAUAACUUCGGGAAACCGGAGCUAAUACCGGAUAAUAUUUUGAACCGCAUGGUUCAAAAGUGAAAGACGGUCUUGCUGUCACUUAUAGAUGGAUCCGCGCUGCAUUAGAUAGUUGGUAAGGUAACGGCUUACCAAGGCAACGAUGCAUAGCCGACCUGAGAGGGUGAUCGGCCACACUGGAACUGAGACACGGUCCAGACUCCUACGGGAGGCAGCAGUAGGGAAUCUUACGCAAUGGGCGAAAGCCUGACGGAGCAACGCCGCGUGAGUGAUGAAGGUCUUCGGAUCGUAAAACUCUGUUAUUAGGGAAGAACAUAUGUGUAAGUAACUGUGCACAUCUUGACGGUACCUAAUCAGAAAGCCACGGCUAACUACGUG
rnacentral:rRNA from 1 species